UACGAAGGGGGCUAGCGUUGCUCGGAAUCACUGGGCGUAAAGCGCACGUAGGCGGAUCUUUAAGUCAGGGGUGAAAUCCUGGAGCUCAACUCCAGAACUGCCUUUGAUACUGGGGAUCUCGAGUCCGGAAGAGGUGAGUGGAACUCCGAGUGUAGAGGUGAAAUUCGUAGAUAUUCGGAAGAACACCAGUGGCGAAGGCGGCUCACUGGUCCGGUACUGACGCUGAGGCGCGAAAGCUAGGGGAGCAAACAGG
rnacentral:rRNA from 1 species